CGGCAACAGCUCAGAUUUGAAAUCUGGCCCGUCAGGGUCCGAGUUGUAAUCUGUAGAGGAUGCUUUUGGCGAGGUGCCUUCUAAGUCCCCUAGAACGGGGCGCCAUAGAGGGUGAGAGCCCCGUACAGUUGGACACCGAACCUUUGUAAAGCUCCUUCGAC
rnacentral:rRNA from 1 species